CCUACGGGAGGCAGCAGUGGGGAAUAUUGCACAAUGGGGGAAACCCUGAUGCAGCGACGCCGCGUGAGUGAAGAAGUAAUUCGUUAUGUAAAGCUCUAUUAGCAGGGAAGUAAAUGACGGUACCUGAGUAAGAAGCUCCGACUAACUACGUGCCAGCAGCCGCGGUAAUACGUAGGGGGCAAGCGUUAUCCGGAUUUACUGGGUGUAAAGGGAGCGUAGACGGCAGUGCAAGUCUGGAGUGAAAGGCGGGGGCUCAACCCCCGGACUGCUCUGGAAACUGUACGGCUGGAGUGCAGGAGAGGUAAGUGGAAUUCCUAGUGUAGCGGUGAAAUGCGUAGAUAUUAGGAAGAACACCAGUGGCGAAGGCAGCUUACUAGACUGUAACUGACGUUGAGGCUCGAAAGCGUGGGGAGCAAACAGGAUUAGAUACCCUAGUAGUC
rnacentral:rRNA from 1 species